rnacentral:rRNA from 1 species
AUGGGCCUGGGCCUCGCCUCGUCUCCUCCUGGAGGCCUGGUCGAUCCUGCACAGGGGCCCGAGUCCUCCUCGUCUCUAGGGAAAGUGUGCACCCCUACCCUGCAUUCCUCCCCCCACCCCGCGCCCUCCCAUCCUGCGCCGCCCCCUGUUCCCCCUCCCGUGCCUGCGCCGUCCUUGCUCGUCGCUCGGACCCCGAUGCCACACGACGCGGGUGACAGUGCCCCUCGCCCGAAGCGCCGUGCCGACGAGCCGGCGGACCGUCGCCCGACCGACUCCUGGCGCCCCUCCCUGGAGGCCUCGCGGAGGGAAUCCGAGCUCCGCUCCGAGUUCGUGUCACGAGGCUUUGCCCCGACCUCGGACCCCUCAGGGCGGGAGGACAGGCCGCGUAACCGCUCGCCGGACCACUGGCGGAGCCGUGGGCGUGAGCGGGACCGCCGUUCCCCCCCUCGUCGCUCCCCUCCCCACCGGUCACAGUCUCCGGCUCGCUCUGGUCGCGCGGAGCAGUCCCCGCCUCGCCGGUACAACCCGCCACAGCGUCAUAUGCAGUUCCCUCCCCCGGGUCCCGGUGCUCCCAACCCCCGGAGCGCUUUCGCGAAGAAGAAGAAGAAGAAGGCCGGUCAGCGUUUUGGCGGUGGGGCUGGACAAGCCUCUUCUGUCACCAACCCGACGCCGGCACCCCCGGCCCCUCCGUCGAAGUCCAUUUCCGGCACCAUUUCCUGCUUCAAUUGUGGCAAAGAGGGUCACUGCCAGGUCGAUUGCAAGGACCCCCUGGCUUGUUUCAAGUGCAAGGGCACGGACCACCCCGUGAUUCUUUGCCCGCUUCAGCCGGAGGAGGGGGAGCUGAUGCUUUACGGCCAUGCUCUGGACGAUCUUGGAUUCUUCCAGAUGGAUCUGCCCGCGGUCGCGGCCGUGCCGUCCCUGACCGCUCUCAUCUCGGUCUUGGAAGGCCGGUCGGCUUCCCCGGCUAUCAUCACGGAGGAGCUCCGUCACCUCUUCUGCCCUGACUGGGACUGGGAGGUCGCUUCGAUCUCCGAUCACGAGUUUACCGCGGUGUUUCCGGAUCCUAUCAGCUUGCGCUACGGCACCCACAGUGAUCAGCUCACUUUAGCUCUCAACAAGCUCAUCGUCAGCAUCUCUAUGUCGUUGGUGGACCCUAUAGCGGUGGCCUUUCUCUCGGAGGUAUGGAUUCAAAUCCGUGGGCUACCGCCGAUUGCCAAGAAGGAGCGCACCAUUCGGAACAUGUCCAGGCUCCUUGGCAAGAUCGUGGAGGUUGAUGGCUCCUCUCUCGUCCGCGGACCGGCUGUUCAUGUCAAGAUCAAGACCCCCGACCCGACUAAGCUGCAGACAACAGUCCGUAUGUUCUUCGGAGAUGCUGGAUACGACCUCAAGAUCUCGGUGGAUGGGGGCGUUCCGGGCUCCUCCCAACCAGCGACGGAUGAUGCGGCUCCCGGGACCGAUGGCGACUUGGGUGGUGGCUCACGCUCCCCUGGUGGCGGUCGGUCACCGCGUCAGCGCAGCCGCUCCCCAAGCUCCAGCGGGGAUGAUGAUGACUCCCCAGAGCCACAUGCGCCGCCUCUGCCGGCGAACAAGACAACGACCGAAGAGCUCUCUAUGGCCCAUGAUGCUACUGCCCAAGAUCCGAUGGAUGAUGCUGAUGCUCGUGCCCUCAACGCCAUGCUCGAGGUUGAUUCACUGCUUCGCCCCAGCGCGGCCCUCUCCUUGCUCCUUGGCACUCCGAUGGCCGCUUCGGAGUCGGAGACGGUCAGCGGUGCGAGCGACGUCAGCCCGGAGGUAUGCCCCCUCCUCCCCGCGUCUGGAUUCACCCACCCUCGCCCAGGCACCAUCGCCACCAUCUUCGCCAUGGGCUGGGGCGGGGGAGGUCUCUCCUGUGACCGGGACUAG